rnacentral:rRNA from 1 species
UACGGAGGGGGCUAGCGUUGUUCGGAAUUACUGGGCGUAAAGCGCGCGUAGGCGGCUUAGCAAGUUAGAGGUGAAAGCCCGAAGCUCAACUUCGGAAUUGCCUUUAAGACUGCAAAGCUAGAAUCAUGGAGAGGUGAGUGGAAUUCCGAGUGUAGAGGUGAAAUUCGUAGAUAUUCGGAAGAACACCAGUGGCGAAGGCGACUCACUGGACAUGUAUUGACGCUGAGGUGCGAAAGCGUGGGGAGCAAACAGG